GAGUUUGAUCCUGGCUCAGAUUGAACGCUGGCGGCAGGCCUAACACAUGCAAGUCGAGCGGUAGCACAGGGAGCUUGCUCCUGGGUGACGAGCGGCGGACGGGUGAGUAAUGUCUGGGAAACUGCCUGAUGGAGGGGGAUAACUACUGGAAACGGUAGCUAAUACCGCAUAACGUCUUCGGACCAAAGAGGGGGACCUUCGGGCCUCUUGCCAUCAGAUGUGCCCAGAUGGGAUUAGCUAGUAGGUGAGGUAAUGGCUCACCUAGGCGACGAUCCCUAGCUGGUCUGAGAGGAUGACCAGCCACACUGGAACUGAGACACGGUCCAGACUCCUACGGGAGGCAGCAGUGGGGAAUAUUGCACAAUGGGCGCAAGCCUGAUGCAGCCAUGCCGCGUGUAUGAAGAAGGCCUUCGGGUUGUAAAGUACUUUCAGCGAGGAGGAAGGCAUUGUGGUUAAUAACCGCAGUGAUUGACGUUACUCGCAGAAGAAGCACCGGC
rnacentral:rRNA from 1 species